rnacentral:rRNA from 1 species
GACGAACGUUGGCGGCGUGCUUAACACAUGCAAGUCGAACGGAAAGGCCCUGCUUUUGUGGGGUGCUCGAGUGGCGAACGGGUGAGUAACACGUGAGUAACCUGCCCUUGACUUUGGGAUAACUUCAGGAAACUGGGGCUAAUACCGGAUAGGAGCUCCUGCUGCAUGGUGGGGGUUGGAAAGUUUCGGCGGUUGGGGAUGGACUCGCGGCUUAUCAGCUUGUUGGUGGGGUAGUGGCUUACCAAGGCUUUGACGGGUAGCCGGCCUGAGAGGGUGACCGGCCACAUUGGGACUGAGAUACGGCCCAGACUCCUACGGGAGGCAGCAGUGGGGAAUAUUGCACAAUGGGCGGAAGCCUGAUGCAGCAACGCCGCGUGCGGGAUGACGGCCUUCGGGUUGUAAACCGCUUUCGCCUGUGACGAAGCGUGAGUGACGGUAAUGGGUAAAGAAGCACCGGCUAACUACGUGCCAGCAGCCGCGGUGAUACGUAGGGUGCGAGCGUCGUCCGGAUUUAUUGGGCGUAAGGGCUCGUAGGUGGUUGAUCGCGUCGGAAGUGUAAUCUUGGGGCUUAACCCUGAGCGUGCUUUCGAUACGGGUUGACUUGAGGAAGGUAGGGGAGAAUGGAAUUCCUGGUGGAGCGGUGGAAUGCGCAGAUAUCAGGAGGAACACCAGUGGCGAAGGCGGUUCUCUGGGCCUUUCCUGACGCUGAGGAGCGAAAGCGUGGGGAGCGAACAGGCUUAGAUACCCUGGUAGUCCACGCUGUAAACGGUGGGUACUAGGUGUGGGGUCCAUUCCACGGGUUCCGUGCCGUAGCUAACGCUUUAAGUACCCCGCCUGGGGAGUACGGCCGCAAGGCUAAAACUCAAAGGAAUUGACGGGGCCCCGCACAAGCGGCGGAGCAUGCGGAUUAAUUCGAUGCAACGCGUAGAACCUUACCUGGGUUUGACAUGGAUCGGGAGUGCUCAGAGAUGGGUGUGCCUCUUUUGGGGUCGGUUCACAGGUGGUGCAUGGCUGUCGUCAGCUCGUGUCGUGAGAUGUUGGGUUAAGUCCCGCAACGAGCGCAACCCUUGUUCACUGUUGCCAGCACGUUAUGGUGGGGACUCAGUGGAGACCGCCGGGGUCAACUCGGAGGAAGGUGGGGAUGACGUCAAGUCAUCAUGCCCCUUAUGUCCAGGGCUUCACGCAUGCUACAAUGGCUGGUACAGAGAGUGGCGAGCCUGUGAGGGUGAGCGAAUCUCGGAAAGCCGGUCUCAGUUCGGAUUGGGGUCUGCAACUCGACCUCAUGAAGUCGGAGUCGCUAGUAAUCGCAGAUCAGCAACGCUGCGGUGAAUACGUUCCCGGG